rnacentral:lncRNA from 1 species
UGGAAGCUCAGACGGUCGGAGGAGUUCAGAAAGACGCCACAUAAGGUCGGAAGCCGGAAGAGCCCUGGGAGGGUCGACCUUUUACGAACUUCGGCUGGGGUUAUUUUAUACCCAACACCUCCACGAUCCCCUUGACUCCAGCUUCUCCGACGUCGGUAAAAUUCUGUACCAACAAAAUUGGUGCUAGAGGGAGGGCCCUAUAUCUUCGUAGGAUCCUUGUUCUUAAAGGAGUACUCAACGGGACUGUCUUCGAUCAUCUUCUUUGACAUUUUCUUCUUCUUCUCCUGUC